GGCGACGAGGAUGGGAUUAUAUAAAAAACCUUUACAAGAAACUCUAUCAGUUGAAACAAAUAAAACGGAAGAAGUUUCCAGGAAAGCCAGGAAUUCACCAAAAGUAAAAAUACUUUCUGAUAAUCUGGAUCCCAUUCUUCAUUUACCCAUGUACCAAGAUAUUUGUGCAUUGAAACUCUUUCGAGUGUUGUACAUGUGAGAGUUCUUAUUGAGGUUUGUUGCGGUUUUCUUGAUACUGUACAUAAACUUAGUCUUUGAGAGAUUCAUGCUUAGACCCGACUUUCUGCUACAUUUAUAAACGCUAUCUAUUAUUUUCUAAAGAUCUUGGGAA